rnacentral:misc_RNA from 1 species
UUCACAAACUGCACUCACAGGAUUGAAAAUUAGGCUGUGAAUAUUCGCAAGUUCAGUUGAUCAAAGGGUGUUCUCGCACUUUUAUGUGCAUGCUUGGUUUGUCCUCAUAAGAGACUCUAAUACGAGGCUUCAAAUGAAUCAUCAAAACUAUACUGGCAUGGCCUGCUUGCGCAUCGCUUAGGGUCAACUUUAAGAACAGAAUUGUUUUUUGCUGGGUCUGGCCCUAGAUAUACCAAUACUACUUUAGACAGAGUAAUCUAUCCAUUAGAGUGAUAUGAGGAAGG